rnacentral:rRNA from 1 species
GACGAACCGUCCAAACGUUAUUCGGAAUCACUGGGCUUAAAGGGCGCGUAGGCGGCCGAGCGGGUCACGGGUGAAAUCCUCCAGCUUAACUGGAGAACUGCCCUUGAUACCACUGCGGCUCGAGGAAGGAAGGGGCAAUGGGAACUGUCGGUGGAGCGGUGAAAUGCGUUGAUAUCGACAGGAACGCCGGUGGCGAAAGCGCAUUGCUGGUCCUUUUCUGACGCUGAGGCGCGAAAGCCAGGGGAGCAAACGGG